GAUAAGGUUAAGUGAAUAAGGGCGCACGGUGGAUGCCUUGGCACUAGGAGCCGAUGAAGGACGGGACUAACACCGAUAUGCUUUGGGGAGCUGUACGUAAGCUAUGAUCCAGAGAUUUCCGAAUGGGGGAACCCAGCAUCUUUAAUAGGAUGUUACGAUUGUGUGAAUACAUAGCACAUGCGAGGUAGACGCAGAGAACU
rnacentral:rRNA from 1 species